rnacentral:rRNA from 1 species
UACGGAGGGUGCGAGCGUUAAUCGGAAUUACUGGGCGUAAAGCGCACGCAGGCGGUUUGUUAAGCUAGAUGUGAAAGCCCCGCGCUCAACGUGGGAAUAGCAUUUAGAACUGGCAGGCUAGAGUCUUGGAGAGGGGAGUGGAAUUCCAGGUGUAGCGGUGAAAUGCGUAGAUAUCUGGAGGAACAUCAGUGGCGAAGGCG